CGGGCCUUAGCUCAGCUGGGAGAGCACCUGCUUUGCAAGCAGGGGGUCGUCGGUUCGAUCCCGACAGGCUCCACCA
rnacentral:tRNA from 1 species